rnacentral:rRNA from 1 species
GACGAACGCUGGCGGCGUGCCUAAUACAUGCAAGUCGAGCGAGCGAACCUAACAGAUUUACUUCGGUAAUGACGUUAGGAAAGCGAGCGGCGGAUGGGUGAGUAACACGUGGGGAACCUGCCCCAUAGUCUGGGAUACCACUUGGAAACAGGUGCUAAUACCGGAUAAGAAAGCAGAUCGCAUGAUCAGCUUUUAAAAGGCGGCAUAAGCUGUCGCUAUGGGAUGGCCCCGCGGUGCAUUAGCUAGUUGGUAAGGUAAAGGCUUACCAAGGCGAUGAUGCAUAGCCGAGUUGAGAGACUGAUCGGCCACAUUGGGACUGAGACACGGCCCAAACUCCUACGGGAGGCAGCAGUAGGGAAUCUUCCACAAUGGACGCAAGUCUGAUGGAGCAACGCCGCGUGAGUGAAGAAGGUUUUCGGAUCGUAAAGCUCUGUUGUUGGUGAAGAAGGAUAGAGGUAGUAACUGGCCUUUAUUUGACGGUAAUCAACCAGAAAGACACGGCUAACUACGUG